rnacentral:lncRNA from 1 species
UGUUGCGCCUACUGGCCCUGAUCAACGCAUGUAUGAUAGGUGUACAUAUAAACCAGAGAUGUAGCACACCAGGUGAUCAUUAUUUUUUGAAAUAAGCAAAUGAACAUUGAAUAAGAACAAGAAUUCACGUCUCAAUUUAAAAUAAGCUAAAUCAUCAACAUAUAAUGUGAAGUUGGAAUCCUCAUUGUGAUCUUGCCAACGACAAUGAAAAGCUCACAUAGCUUAGCAAGUUUUGUAGCUUGUCAAACCAUAAAUUCAUUGUUUGAAUCAUAGUUCUCCAAUAACACUAAUGCCUCACUUGGAUUCUAAAAGACCAUAUGAUAAAAGACUGUGAUACAAAACUCAGAUUCUAAAAAAGAAAGCUAAGCGAAACCUGGAACAAAUUUAAACUAGAUCUAAAAAAAUAUUGAAGAAAACCUAGCUCCCUACUACAGGAAGGCAGAUAUUCACUAACAUUGAGGCUAAUUACACAAAUCAAACUCAGAAGCUAAGGUAUUAAACAAUCAAUCCAACUUGCAUACAAGAUUUAGAUCCCUACUACAUUAGACUUAAAAACCUUGUGUAGUACAUAUUUAAAAGUCUAAGCAUAUCCUUUGCAUAUAUCUUUAUAAGUCUCUUUUAUACACAACAACAAACUCCUACUCAUAAAAUCCACACAACUAAACCAGGAUUUGAUCAGUAUUCCAAACCAAGACUAAAUUAAAACAAAGAACUUAAAGGACACAUCCAACAAGAAUUAGCAGAUUACAAAUUUAGCUAUAUCCUAUUCAACAGUAAAUAUGCUUAAUCGAUAUCUUUCUAAUACUAAAUAAUACAAGUUUUGCAUGCUAUUAAAAGAGAAAGAGAUGAAAAUUCAAUAACAACGGUCAUCAGGUUUGAUCAUAUCUCAGAUUCAAGCUUCAAAUUACAUUCAUGUAAUGUCCAUGAAGUUGACAAAUACCUGGAAAUGAAAGGAAGCAGGAGGUGAAGGAUUAGCAAUCGCAGUAGCAGAAACCAGCAGCAGGAACAAACAGAAACCAAAGCUUGAAAAACCAAUUUAGAUUCGAAAUAACCCCAUAAAAUUUUGUAACCCUCAGAUGCUAAAAUCAGCAGGAAGCUUAACCAAUUUCUACCCCGGAUGAACCAGAAAGUAUUUCAGAAAGUGAAAGCUUCAAAACCACAAGAAGAGCUCAAUGGAACAUUAGUUUUAUGGAAAUUCUCUUAGUUGUUUUUUUUAUUUUUUCUGAAGUCUUAUCCUUCACAAUCUAUUCUAAAAUCUAUUCUAAAAUAUGCUCUCAC